CCAAUCAGAGAUUCACGUUUGUCUCAUCAUACGAUGUUUGAGCUCUAUCAUUUUGAAUUAGGUAUGUUUCGUAAGCAAGUAUAGAUCACACUUUACCAUCUUCUCCUGUCUCUUUAUCAUUAUACAAUAUGCUCUUGAAGUGUCACCUUGUUUUCUCACAGAUGUUCAUCUCUUGUUCAAACUAAUUUCCUCUUUCUCUUUUUUUCUGUCACCAGAACGAAUAAUGAAUGUCAUAUGCCAUCCAUCAAGUCUAAACAAGCUUUCGCUUUCGAAUGCUGAACAUGGAUUGGAGUAUGAAAUGGACUUAAUUACUUGAAGCAAUCCUUCCAUUUUCAGCCCGACGUACAUUGUGGUCAAGUCAUGGAGUAUAAGACAGUGGAUCGUAUCACCAUAAUCAUAGACUUCUUUGAUCGAAGAAAGUAUAAGGGAUAUACUGUGCUUGAGACCAUAGGAUCGUAUCACCAUAAUCAUAGACGUCUUGGAUCGACGAAAGUAAAAGGGAGGACUGUUUCACUCGGUCACAAAACUGCUCCGUCGGGGUUGCGAGAGACCUUAAACAGGUGUUCGAUUCUUCGCCGAAGGGUUCUAUCGGAAAGCAACGGUAGACCCUGAUUAACAAGUUCUUCGCAGCCUGACUGUCCUCAAAAUCUAGACUUCCAAUCGCAAUGUAUGAAAAUCUACAAACUUCGUGCACUGACGGGAAGCUUACACUGAUGUGAGCUUCUGCUCGAUUUUCACGGAGUGGAAGGGCGCCGCGAAAAGCGGACGAAACGGUGUGCCAUCUCCUGAACGUAAUCCUCAACAUCCGCCCUACCUUGAACUCCCACGCUCAGCUAUAUCAGGGCUAGGGGUGAUGGGUGUAUGUUCAGACGGAGAAGAAAAUUCCAAGGAGAAUUAAAACAAAAUUAAAGAAAGGUUAUUAUUCACACACAACUAGUUAGGAAAUUUUCUGAAAAAAUCAUCGUUCUCAUCUCGUUUGGCAUGACAGGGCGUCAACAAGUCCGGAAACGGUACCGAUUUUUUAAGGAGGGUCCGGAAGUACUGAUAAAGGUGAAAAUUCCGCAGAAGGCCCGGAAUUUUUUUUCAUUUUUGAUCAUUUUUGUCUCAAUUUGAGCGAGGAACACAAAUUUUUGAAAUUUUUCGAAUAUCGUCAAAUGGAGGUACUGGAAAAGUACUGAAUUUUUCUAUUGAGGAGGUACUGGAUUUUUUGGGAAUGUACUAAAAAAUUACUGAUUUUUGGCCCGCCUGUUUUACUCUGAUGCACUCUGCAUGAUGAUUUUUCUUCAAAUCUGUGAGAAUUGGAUUUUUACGAGGACUUAAUUCUCUACAUUUCACUUCUCUAUAUGGAAGAUUGGCGGUUGGUACCAAGAAGGAACUUCGGGUAUAAAAGUUUCUUCCAGCGAACUACUUCAAUGGAAGUUCCAAUAAGAGUUCCCCCAGUGGCGCCGCCUUUUUGGGGGAACCGGAAGGUGACAUGUGGUCGGGAGGGGUUAGGACCUGUAAGGGAUCUGCUUGAAUUAGGAUAUUUAAAUAUUAGUAUGAAUAUGUAAUAAUUGAAUAUUAGAAAGUUACGGAGGCAUUAUGUCCCACGUUUUUCAUAAAAUAAAUAGCCAGACUACUCCGUCUAUCUUAAUUUUUGCA
rnacentral:lncRNA from 1 species